rnacentral:rRNA from 1 species
GAUGAACGCUGGCGGCGUGCCUAAUACAUGCAAGUCGAGCGAACAGACGAGGAGCUUGCUCCUCUGACGUUAGCGGCGGACGGGUGAGUAACACGUGGAUAACCUACCUAUAAGACUGGGAUAACUUCGGGAAACCGGAGCUAAUACCGGAUAAUAUAUUGAACCGCAUGGUUCAAUAGUGAAAGACGGUUUUGCUGUCACUUAUAGAUGGAUCCGCGCCGCAUUAGCUAGUUGGUAAGGUAACGGCUUACCAAGGCAACGAUGCGGACCCGACCUGAGAGGGGGUCCGCCCCCCUGGGACCGGGGCCCCGGCCCAACCCCCUCGGGGGGGCCCGCGGGGGGAAUUUUCCGCAAUGGGGGAAACCCUGCCGGGGCAACCCCGGGGGAGUGAGGAAGGUCUCCGGUUCGUAAACCUUUUUUUUUGGGGAAAAACAAAUUUGAAAGUACCGUUGCCCUUUUUACGGGUCCCAAAGCAAAAGGCCCCGCCAACCUCCUU